rnacentral:rRNA from 1 species
AUUGAACGCUGGCGGUAGGCCUAACACAUGCAAGUCGAACGGCAGCACAGGAGAGCUUGCUCUCUGGGUGGCGAGUGGCGGACGGGUGAGGAAUACAUCGGAAUCUACUUUUUCGUGGGGGAUAACGUAGGGAAACUUACGCUAAUACCGCAUACGACCUACGGGUGAAAGCAGGGGAUCUUCGGACCUUGCGCGAUUGAAUGAGCCGAUGUCGGAUUAGCUAGUUGGCGGGGUAAAGGCCCACCAAGGCGACGAUCCGUAGCUGGUCUGAGAGGAUGAUCAGCCACACUGGAACUGAGACACGGUCCAGACUCCUACGGGAGGCAGCAGUGGGGAAUAUUGGACAAUGGGCGCAAGCCUGAUCCAGCCAUACCGCGUGGGUGAAGAAGGCCUUCGGGUUGUAAAGCCCUUUUGUUGGGAAAGAAAUCCAGCUGGUUAAUACCCGGUUGGGAUGACGGUACCCUAAGAAUAAGCACCGGCUAACUUCGUGCCAGCCGCCGCGGUAA